GACGAACGCUGGCGGCGUGCUUAACACAUGCAAGUCGAACGGUGAAGCGCCUUCCUUUUUGGUGGGUGUGGAUGAGUGGCGAACGGGUGAGUAACACGUGAGUAACCUGCCCCCUUCUUCUGGAUAACCGCAUGAAAGUGUGGCUAAUACGGGAUAUUCUGGGUCUGUCGCAUGAUGGGUCUGGGAAAGAUAUUGUUUCGGUGGGGGAUGGGCUCGCGGCCUAUCAGCUUGUUGGUGGGGUGAUGGCCUACCAAGGCGGUGACGGGUAGCCGGCCUGAGAGGGUGGACGGUCGCACUGGGAGUGGGACACGGCCCAGACUCAUACGGGAGGCAGCAGUGGGGAAUAUUGCACAAUGGGGGCAAGCCUGGUGCAGCGAGGCCGCGUGAGGGAUGGAGGCCUUCGGGUUGUGAACCUCUUUCGCCAGUGAAGCAGGCCUGCCUCGUUUGUGGGUGGGUUGACGGUAGCUGGAUAAGAAGCGCCGGCUAACUACGUG
rnacentral:rRNA from 1 species